rnacentral:lncRNA from 1 species
GCCUUGGCUGCAUGGUGUGCGGUUGUGAGCUAGGCCUGUGGCCUAUCCAGGCAUGGCUGACCAUCUAAAGGGAUGUGGACAGCUCAGGGGCAGGUGGGGGCCUGCACUCCAGGGCUCUGCUGUCGGCCGCCUGGGGGCAGCAGAGAGCAACGGAUGCCUGGCCUCUGAGUGAGAGGUGGGGUGCCCUCAGGCCUCUGAGUGAGGGGUGGGGUGUCCCCACCCUGACCCCAUGGGUGCCUGGAUGGUUCCAGGCAGCAGGGCAGGCCUGUGAGCCUCUGAAGGACUCAGAGAGCUGGGGGGGUCUAGUGGACGAAUGCAGAGCCCUGGGCCCACGAUGGGGGCAUCUCUGCUUUGACCUGACCCCCUUGGCGCAGAGGAGCCGGACAGUGCUACCCAGUGUCCAGUGGAUGCUACGGGCCCAGGGGGGCCUCUGGGGAACCUGGAUGUCACUCCACCCGUGCUGUUAAGCUCCCCGGCGUUUCCUCAGGACUACGGGAUGAGCGUUUUCCACGGAAGUGACACCGAAGAUGACUUUCACGGCUGCACCCAAUUGCACUGUUUCCACGGAAGUGACACCGAAGAUGACUUUCACGGCUGCACCCAAUUGCACUGUCACUGUGCUGGUUUGUGUCACCCCUUGCUGCUAUACCCUGCCUUCUCCGGUGUCUGGAUGGAGCGGGUUUCCCGGGGACUGGGUUUCCUGGAGACCAGGUAAAUCGUGCCCAGGGGCAGGCAGCCAGGGGAGAGGAGCAGAUGGCACACUGAUGACGCAGCCGCCACCAGGAGCUGGUCCAUGGAGGGGAUACAGCAACACCCGACGCUUUCACCCGGUUGAUCUGAUGAACACAGCCGAAGACUUCCGGCAGCACAGGCCUGGGUUCUGAGGCAUGAAUGAAAAACACGACUUUUAUUGCACAACUGGAAAACUAACCAACAUGGAGCUAAGGAAGACUGUCUUUGCUUAACUGAGCUUGACAAGAAAACUAUCAAGCCUCAGCUUUGGGUAAGCAGCUUCACUUUUAUCCUGGGUGAAAACUUGAAAGUAGCAAGUGAGUUUGUUCUCAGGGACACCUGUCACACACACAGAGUGGACACCUCAUGUAUUUGUGUGUGUGUUUGAGUUUGAGCCCCUACAAAUGGGAUGGUGGGUGUGGAAGCUGGAUGAGGCAGGAAGGUGGGGCCCUGGCUGUGUAGGGGACAUGCAGGUUUGUGGGACCAGCUGGAGAGAGGAGGAAGGUCUGGGGCUGCGGGCUGGGAAGGUUUGGGUCCCACCCCCAGGGGUCACCCUACCCUGAGAAAUACUCCAUCGAGGGAGCAGGAGAAGUAAGGGAGCUGUGUCUUCUGGGGUUGCUGUAACUUGGGAGGCUGGGAGCCCAGGUGACAAAGCCCAUGUGACGUGUGGUCCCUCCCCAGAAGUGCACUGCCUGGAGCGCUGUGGGGAUGAUCCAGAAGAGAUGCCCUAUGUAAGCCCAGGGCCAGGAUGAGGGAAGCCGGGCCCAGCAGUGCUUAUGUGUGUAGGGCCAGACUCCACACAUGUGGACACAGUGCCCCAUAUUCUGUAGGGGAAAAAGUAGGGUCCUGACUGGAGAUCUUAUAGAAUCCUUGUGGACCAGACCAGGGACUAUUGCAACGACUAGGGGUUUGAGGAGGGUCAGAGACCAGGGUCCUCUCAGGAUCGAGGUGGGUGAAGGUGCCCACACCACGGGAACCACAGGGCUACAGCCAGGAAAUUGGCCCACCCAGUUGCCCUCCCAGCAGGACUGAAAUGCCACGGAAUCUCAGGAGGGGAGGGGGCCCAGACGGCAGGGGUCUCGAGGGAGCCGCUGGGUGAGUCAGGGGCCGAGACACACUGCGGGAGGCAGUGUUCCCCACCCUCCUGCCCCC